UUAGUUAAGAUGAGGUCAUACUGGGGUAGGGUAGACCACUAAUUCGAUACGACUGAUGUCCUUUUCAGAGGAGAGCUAUGUGAAAACAGAGACACAGAGAAAAUGCCGUACGAAGAUGGAGACAGAGAUUGGAGUGAUGCGUCUAUAAAUCUAGGGACACCUAGGAUUGCUAGCUGUCACCAGAAGCUAGGAAAGGUCCACCACUGAAUUUUUGUGGCAGUUUUGGAAACAGAUAACAUACAAUAUGGCACUUUGACAUGAUGAAUUGAAGAAGAAACCUCAAGGUCUCUCUGAUUGUUCCCCCUCAACCCUCCUGGCUCUCGAUCCUCUGUGUCUCCCAAAGCACGGAAUGAAGUUAUCCUCUGAAGUUCCUUAUCUGCUUAAAAUUUGGACCUGCCAAAGAAGAAAAUAAUUAUCUCUGGUUCCUUCCUUGAGUUUUCAUUAACUGAACUCAUACCACAGAAAAGACUGAAGUCUGUCAAAAACCUGGACAGACUUCUGUUACAUAUGUUUGUUUGCUCUGUGAGCCCAGCAGACUUUGGUGAUUGUAUGUUCUUCAAGCCCAUUUACUUCCCCUAAAAACCAUUUGUUAUCACUCUAAAUCAUCCAGAGUUCCCAUAUCCCUGUCCCCUGAGAAGUAGAGUAUAUAAGCAUUUGUACCUCAUUGGGACAUUGUGUAUGCACUCUGUGAUUCUCC
rnacentral:lncRNA from 13 species